GCUUGGGGUUAUUUGUGCCUAAAGGGUCUGGGUAAGUUGUGCCAGUGGUACAGCUCACCCACAUUUAUGAUUAUUCACUACAUUUGACCUACAUUAUUUUAUUGUAUUUAAUUUAAUUGUGCAUUGUAUUCUUACAUCUGAUCACUAAAACUAUGUGACAUUCUCAGCCUUAGAACAAAAUAUAUCAUGCCAUGGAGUUACAAACAAAGACAGGGCUUCAGAGGAGUUGGACAGAGCAGUAAAAGAGGUGCAACAGGGGGAGGUGGCAGUGAAGAUAGUGAUCUGCAGGAUGAGCUUGAAAAUAUAUAUUGAGAAGAAAAAAAGGAGAAGUAACAAACACAGGCUAUAAGGGAAAAGGACAUGCUAACCAAGUCUGCAGGUAGAUGGUUGCAGGUAACAAAUCCUAUAACUAAGUUGGAUUGGUGGAGAAUAACUAGGGUGACCAGAUCAGUGCAAAGUUUCUAAAGCAAAUUUGUAAGAGAUCUGUGGGUGGAAAGCCAAUCUUCACAUUUAAAGAACAUGAUGAAGGAGUUGUCCCUGGAGGUGAUGUGCUCAAGAAACUACCCACACCACACAAACCUGGUGGUACAGCCAGAAGGGAGCAUAAGUUCUUAUUUUCCUGCAGCACUUGCAGGUGGAAUGUUAAGCUGUCCUUGUUAAAUACUGUAUUUUUAGAAGAUACGGUGUUGAUUUGUAGCCUGUUUGCCACUGGGUACCAUUACGCUUGCCAACAGGUUAGCGGGCUAGCUACAGUAUACUGAGGAAGCUAAGCUAAUGAACGGCCACGUAAACCUAAACUUCAGGGCAAAACAAAGACAAGCUGGUCCACGGGACAAAGGACCACGGCUGCCACCAAUGUAAGUGUGCCCUCUGGGUUUGUCGGACCUGAUAUGCUGAAUAAUGAGGCAAUAAAUGGCACACAGGCGAGGUGCUCUUUCUCCACUACAUCCACCUUUAUUAAAGGCACAUGUGAACUCAGAACACAGGUUUUACGACAACCAGAACACCUUUUACUGCAGCUAUGCUAACUCAUUUCAGACACCUCACUCCAAAGGCAAAUACAUACAGAACACAUUUAACCAGCACAACAAUCUGUUACAAUACCAAUAUUCAUUUUUUAGCCUUCCAAAAUCUGCAGUUAAAUAGCCACAUAUUUAGACUAUUAAAUUUUUUUAGAAUCCCUAUAGGUCUACAGGAUUUUUAUAACAUAUCUGUGGGUUGAGCUUUGAGCCUUACAAUAAACAUGGACUCUCAGACUUUCCAGAUUGUUGUAAUAAUGUUAAAUCCUUUCUUAAGAAACUUUGUUUGACUCAACUAUUUCAAAAUCAAACCGUGUAAAUGGUCCCAGAGUGCUUACGGGAAAUUUCCCUCCAAAGCAUGUAAAAAAAAAAAAAGACAGAUGGUGACCUACUACCAAAUGUUUCUUAGAUUAGACUUGAUACAACUUCAUUGAGCCUUCUGGGAAGGUUCCCUCAAGAAAAUUAAAAGCAGUCUAAACAGUAUUAAAACAAGAAAAUCUCCUGGCGAAAAUUUUGAAAGGGCCUUGGGGGUUACUGCUAGGAUGUGUACAUUAUUUUUCAAAGAUUUUAAAAAAUGAGUGCUGGCCCUCUAUACAAAAGUAUAAGGGGCCAGCACUAUUGUGAUAUUGUGGAUUUUUUUUAUUCUCUUCCAGACAAAUUACUACAAAUCCUACAGCUUGAAGAGUUGUAGGACAAAUUAUAUGUAGCGUUGGGAAAUUUUCAGCAGCAAGGUAAUCUAUUGAAUUCUUUGUUGUGUCAUAGAAUGUAGCACUCAAGGCGUGAUAGUGUCUCACCAAUGAGCCAAACUUUGGCACACUACAACCCAAUUUCCCAACCAGGCUCUACUACAUCAAAAAUCCCAAAUCAAUAAGGAAAGGAGGCCCAAAUAAACUUCAAGAAACUAUGUUUACUAUGUUUCAUCUUGUCCUUGUAAAGCUAAAGGCUUGAGAUGAGAGGAAGAGGCUCAUGACAUGGCCAUGCCUGCACAUGUGAGGGCACCAGGUACAAAAGGGGUUAAACAUUUCUUAUUUUUAACAUGUCAUAUAUUAUUUAGCCACAGUUAGAUACAUUACCUCAUCACUAUUCAUCCCUCAAACAGCUGCUGGGACCAUAAACAUAUUUUGGACUCCACCAAUGAGUGUCGCCUAGACCUGCUCUUUUUGGAAAGUGUCUUGGGAUAACAACUGUUGUAUAAAUAAAUAUUGAUGAAUUGAUUGAUUGAUUGAUUGAUUGAUUGACAUGUGGACACCCUUAUGUCUGAACAUAGUGUUCGUUAUGGACAAUCUGUGACAAGCACAGAAAUCCAUAAAACAUAGCACCACCUGGGUUCAGGGGGCUGUUCCUCCCAAUCACACCCCUCCAGGUCCUACUGUCACUGCCAACAUGGGUGUUGAAGUCCCAGAGCAGAACAAGAGAGUCCCACGAGGGAGCACUCUCCAGCAGCCCUUAAACACAAACAACAGUCAGGAUCCCUCUCCCCAUCCAAAGGCGAACCUUCUUGUCCACUGGCUGAACCCCAAGAUACAGGCCUAGCGCCUCUCACAAGUGCCACUUGCGAGAGGCAAAUCCCCUGAAAACUUAGCUCCUGGGAUCAUUGGGAUACACAAACCCCUCCACCACGGUAAAUUAUUUUACUUUUUAUUUAUUCGUUUUUUUCUUAUUUCUGAUAAAAA